GAAAAACACCAGAAUUGCCUAGGUACAGGGGGCCGCCAUUUUGGACACCCAACAUUGAGCGGAGGAGAAAAGCUGACAGGAGUCCUGAUUGGUCAUUAACCGAAAAUCUUUGUGGUGGAAUUUGACAGUGAAAUAUAAGUGACAAAAAUGAGAUGUGACUUAUUAGAAUAUGUAAAAGGAUAUAGGACUUAUAAAGGAAGACUUGAGAUGAGGGGUGAUAUUUUACUGGACACUUUCAUUCAGUGCGGAUCUACACCAGUUGGAAACGGGCCAAAAUUCAAAGGAAAAACGCCGCGGCAGUGUAUAUUUUUCGUGGUGGAAUUUUGAAGAAGAGGUGUUGGACUUUGCUUUAAAGUGACUGAUUUUUUUAAAAUUGAUUAAAUAAAUAAGUGACAGUGAUUGGAAUUUGUAUGGAAGUCUAUGGGAAAACAUUUAGUGGUGUUUGUCCUAUACAAAGAAGGCAAGAACUACUUUAUAAGAGAUUGACUAACCCUCCCCCCCUCUGGGAUGGGGGCACCCACACCAGCACAUAAGACCUUGAUGGAUUCCCCCGGGCCGUUAUUUGUACUGUGAGCUGCACUGUGCGCCCGACCGUGGAAGUUGCGUGCGAAAGUGACAUUCUUAGGCAGUGAGCGCCUUAGACGCCUGUUGAAGCUCUCCACUUUCUGUGUAUUGGUAUUAAGAAUGGACUUGUCUAGGACUGACGGGGCAAGCCGCCUGUUGACGCAGGUCUGGAGAAUCCUUGCAUUGGCCCUGGAGUAUGGAAUUUUGAAGUUUCCAUCAAGUGAAGACUCAGAAGGCGGUGGAGUGUUGGUGGCCAUAAGUAUUUUGCGUAGCGAUGAACUGCCAAUCGGGGUUUGACUUAGACCUACUUGAAGGCCAUAGUUGACUGUUGCGGGUUUCCUUCCCCUUGAGUUAGUUUGCACUUCCUCAUAGAGGUUGUGCAUUUCGGACACAUAAGGGCACCUGCUGCAUUUUAGCCGAAGUCGAGUACCCAGGCCACGCCUGUCCUCGGAGUCCAUGUCCCAGGUCAGUCUGCCAUCACAGCCAGGAUUGGUCCGCCCAUGUUCUUUAAAGGCUGUAUUGAACAUCUCGCUUGUCUUUCCGAGAUGGACAAGUCUGUGGGAGUCUGAAUCACAGCUGCUGAAACCAGUGUUGUACCUAAUCACUUCCUAGCCAGGGGUCUUGGCCGCAGCAACCGGUGGCACCCAGGCCGCAGCAUCAUUUCCUGCUCCUCACUCACAGAGGGUGGAUGUCUGACCAGUUCCAGGGUUUCCCGGUCUACUCUUGUGAAUGGUGCAGGAAAAACACCAGAAUUGCCUAGGUACAGGGGGCCGCCAUUUUGGACACCCAACAUUGAGCGGAGGAGAAAAGCUGACAGGAGUCCUGAUUGGUCAUUAACCGAAAAUCUUUGUGGUGGAAUUUGACAGUGAAAUAUAAGUGACAAAAAUGAGAUGUGACUUAUUAGAAUAUGUAAAAGGAUAUAGGACUUAUAAAGGAAGACUUGAGAUGAGGGGUGAUAUUUUACUGGACACUUUCAUUCAGUGCGGAUCUACACCAGUUGGAAACGGGCCAAAAUUCAAAGGAAAAACGCCGCGGCAGUGUAUAUUUUUCGUGGUGGAAUUUUGAAGAAGAGGUGUUGGACUUUGCUUUAAAGUGACUGAUUUUUUUAAAAUUGAUUAAAUAAAUAAGUGACAGUGAUUGGAAUUUGUAUGGAAGUCUAUGGGAAAACAUUUAGUGGUGUUUGUCCAUAAAC